rnacentral:rRNA from 1 species
UGGGGAAUAUUGGACAAUGGGCGAAAGCCUGAUCCAGCCAUGCCGCGUGUGUGAAGAAGGUCUUCGGAUUGUAAAGCACUUUGAGUUGGGAGGAAGGGCAUUAACCUAAUACGUUAGUGUUUUGACGUUACCGACAGAAUAAGCACCGGCUAACUCUGUGCCAGCAGCCGCGGUAAUACAGAGGGUGCAAGCGUUAAUCGGAAUUACUGGGCGUAAAGCGCGCGUAGGGUGUUUGUUAAGUUGGAUGUGAAAUCCCCGGGCUCAACCUGGGAACUGCAUUCAAAACUGACUGACUAGAGUAUGGUAGAGGGUGGUGGAAUUUCCUGUGUAGCGGUGAAAUGCGUAGAUAUAGGAAGGAACACCAGUGGCGAAGGCGACCACCUGGACUAAUACUGACACUGAGGUGCGAAAGCGUGGGGAGCAAACA